rnacentral:rRNA from 1 species
UACGAAGGGGGCUAGCGUUGUUCGGAAUUACUGGGCGUAAAGCGCACGUAGGCGGGUCGUUAAGUCAGGGGUGAAAAUCCCAGAGCUCAACUCUGGAAACUGCCUUUGAUACUGGCGACCUAGAGUCCGGAAGAGGUUAGUGGAAUUCCCAGUGUAGAGGGUGAAAUUCGUAGAUAUUGGGAAGAACACCAGUGGCGAAAGGCGGCUAACUGGUCCGGUACUGACGCUGAGGUGCGGAAA